rnacentral:rRNA from 1 species
UACGGGGGGGGCAAGCGUUGUUCGGAAUUACUGGGCGUAAAGGGUGUGUAGGUGGCGCGCUAAGUCGGGUGUGAAAUUUCGGAGCUUAACUCCGAAACUGCAUUCGAUACUGGCGUGCUUGAGGACUGGAGAGGAGACUGGAAUUCAUGGUGUAGCAGUGAAAUGCGUAGAGAUCAUGAGGAAGACCAGUGGCGAAGGCGGGUCUCUGGACAGUUCCUGACACUGAGACACGAAGGCCAGGGGAGCAAACGGG